ACAUUUGCAACCUUGCUCCCAUCCUGUAAGGAUGUAAAGACCGGAUCGAGGGAGGCCUCAGGUGGACAAAAUCACAGAGCUGCUUUUGGAGCAAUGACGGCCAUGACUGGGAGUCUGAUCUUCUACUCAUGGGUCCAGAGCCUCCAGCUGGUCACCUUAUCCGGAGGCGACAGAGACAAGGGGCGAUGACACCAACGUCAAUGUCAUACCUUAUGACCAGACCUGGAGAUUCCAAGGGACCAGGCAUUCACAUCUGAUGGCUCAGUUAGCCUGCCCUCAGAGAGCCAGCCUGCCGGGGCUUGUUGCCAUGACCUGUUACACUGCUCGGCCAGGAGGGUGUGUGUGGCCUGUCAUAUGUGAGUGUGUGGGUCUCGUCCGUGUCCCAGGAGCAGUAGGGGGGCUUGUCAAGUCUUCUGAUGGAGAAAUCACUCUGGCAGAACAUGAUCUGAAACCACACCCUCUCCCGAGUGGCCGCUCCAAGGGCCUGGGGAGCCUUGGCAUCUGUCCAACAUCAGAGUCUUUGUCCAGUAUCGAGAUGGAAGUUAGAAAGACUUUGAAAUGUGACGAAUUGCAGCCCCUUUCCCACGUCACCCCGCUUGCCUGGCACGCCCAUGGCCCACCCUCUUCCAGGUGGCACCCUGCCCGGCCUUCAGGGGCUGAGUGUCUGCGUGUCUGGUUGCCCCACUGUGACUGGAGCUUAGCUGAGAUUCUGCCACGAGGAUGUCACCACAUCUGCCGCCAGAGAACUUUCCCCUCCACGCCAGAUGCUGCUGGGGAACUGGAAGGACAGAGCGCUGGCGCUUCACCCAGCCCACGGGCCCCACCACUUGAUCUGUUCUGGGUCGGCUUGCUGUUGACAGUCUGCACGACGUAGGCAGCGUGGGACCGUCACCUGCCC
rnacentral:lncRNA from 1 species